ACCACCCCAACUGGAGUGGGGGCUGUGGCUUGAUUUGACUCAGCAAAGGGAAACUCGCCCGGACCGGACACUGAUUGGAUUGACAGAAUGUCUUUUCUGUCUUGAUUCGGUGGGGGGUGGUGCAUGGCUUAUCUGGGGGAGUGGAGUGAUUGGUUAGGUUAAAUAACAUAACAAACUCUACUCUACUAAAUAGACUAUGUGUUUUUGUUGCUUUCAAAUACUUCUUGCAGGAACCGGAAAAGAUUCGCCCUUAGCAAACACACGAGACGUCACAAAUUAAACUUCUUAGAGAGACGGGGGGGGUUUUAGCCUAACGAAAAGUGAUCAUAAUGGGUCUGUGAUGCGCUUACAUGUCCGGGGAAACCCGCUCGAUACACUGAAAGGUGAGGAUAGCAUCUAGUUAUUCUUCCCCCUAAAGGAGGAAGUCACCCUUAGCGCCCCUCUUAAGCUCGGGAUAAUUACUUGCCUGUCCUGUGCACGAACCAGCCGUUCCUACUACCGAUUAAAUGUCCUGAUGAC
rnacentral:rRNA from 1 species